AGAGUACGACGCGUGGUAUGCCAGUUACAACGUCGCUGUUUUACUCCUGCCCACGGAAGCUCCUCUAAACCGUUUCAUCAACGUGGUGGCGCUACCUUCUUUUUCGGAAGUCAAUGACACCUUCGCUGGACAGACUGCUUUGGUCAGCGGCUGGGGACUGAUUGGCAGCAACGAGGCUUGCUGCCCAGAGCUUCUUCAGUGGACUGAUGUGACGGUACUUAGCAACGAAAUAUGCAGUGAGUUCUACAGUGCAG